rnacentral:lncRNA from 1 species
GUAGCCCACAAGGCCCCCAAGAAACUCAGCUCAAAGACCAUUCGGCAGAAGAACUGGGCAGAGUGGCUCACACCUACAAUCCCCUAGGAGGGAAGGACAAAGGCAUCCAUAUCACCUGGCCACAGUGGUUGUGGUGGAAGCUGUAGCACUGAAGAGAUGCAGCCCCAUGGAAGAUGCUGCCAAGAGAGGGAGACAGAGCUAUGUCUGGUGUCUCCCUUCCUCCUUACCUGGUGCCUCCCUCCUCCUGUCCUCCUGUCUCCCUUCAGAUGAAGGAACUGAUGCUGAGACUUGCACUCUACCAUAGGCGGAAGCACCCACCACCCUGUUCCCAGCCCUGGAAGGGCAAGGAAUGAAUCUGAGGCAAAUAGGGCCGGCACUGGCAGUCUGCUCGAUUUUCCCUCAGAGCAUUUAUCUUCCUUGACAUAUUUACAAUUUUUUGUCUAUUUUUGGUUUCUCUAACUUGACUAGAA